AAUACAAUCGAACGCAAGACUUGUUUUUUGUCUUGUGCUUUGGACUUGAAGGGUUUUGCUGAUUGUUAAAGUCAGCUCCUUUUAAAUGCAUUAGCGGACUUGUGAACCCUCCCCACCGGCUUCGGUUUGAUAGACCAUUUGAUCAUCUAUGCUGUUGCUGGUAAAAAGGGGUUUGACCGCUCAUAAAUGUCUUUAAUCAAGACUGGGACAAACCACAUUUUUAAG
rnacentral:misc_RNA from 1 species